GACGAACGCUGGCGGCGUGCUUAACACAUGCAAGUCGAACGGAAAGGCCCUGCUUUUGUGGGGUGCUCGAGUGGCGAACGGGUGAGUAACACGUGAGUAACCUGCCCUUGACUUUGGGAUAACUUCAGGAAACUGGGGCUAAUACCGGAUAGGAGCUCCUGCUGCAUGGUGGGGGUUGGAAAGUCUCGGCGGUUGGGGAUGGACUCGCGGCUUAUCAGCUUGUUGGUGGGGUAGUGGCUUACCAAGGCUUUGACGGGUAGCCGGCCUGGGAGGGUGACCGGCCACAUUGGGACUGAGAUACGGCCCAGACUCCAACGGGAGGCAGCAGUGGGGAGUAUUGCACAGUGGGCGGAAGCCUGAUGCAGCAACGCCGCGUGCGGGAUGACGGCCUUCGGGUUGUAAACCGCUUUCGCCUGUGACGAAGCGUGAGUGACGGUAAUGAGUAAAGAAGCACCGGCUAACUACGUG
rnacentral:rRNA from 1 species